UUUCCGUAGGUGAACCUGCGGAAGGAUCAUUAAAAAUGAAGCCGGGAAACCGGUCCUUCUAACCCUUGAUUCUCUUAAUUUGUUGCUUUGGUGGGCCGCGCAAGCACCGGCUUCGGCUGGAUCGUGCCCGCCAGAGGACACAACUCUGUAUCAAAUGUCGUCUGAGUACUAUAAAAUAGUUAAAACUUUCAACAACGGAUCUCUUGGUUCUG
rnacentral:misc_RNA from 1 species